rnacentral:rRNA from 1 species
AGGAUGAACGCUGGCGGCGUGCCUAACACAUGCAAGUCGAACGUCCUGUCUCGCAAGAGGCAGGGAGUGGCGGACGGGUGAGUACCACGUGGGUCAUCUACCGUGAGGUGAGGGAAUACCGGCGAGAAAUCGCCGACAAGACCGCAUAGGCUCGAUGCAAGUCGAGCAAAAGCGUCUUUCGAGAGAGGGAGCGCCGACACGAGGAGCCUGCGCCCGAUUAGCUAGCUGGUGGAGUAACGGUUCACCAGGGCGACGAUCGGUAGCUGGUCUGAGAGGACGAUCAGCCACACUGGGAUUGAGAACGGCCCAGACUCCUACGGGGGGCAGCAGUGAGGAAUUUUCGUCAAUGGGGGCAACCCUGAACGAGCAACGCCGCGUGCAGGAAGAAGGUUUUCGGAUCGUAAACUGCUUUUUCUCGGGGAAGAGAACGGACGGUACCCGAGGAAUCAGCCCCGGCUAACUACGUGCCAGCAGCCGCGGU